GAUGAACGCUGGCGGCGUGCCUAAUACAUGCCAGUCGAGCGAACGGACGAGAAGCUUGCUUCUCUGAUGUUAGCGGCGGACGGGUGAGUAACACGUGGAUAACCUACCUAUAAGACUGGGAUAACUUCGGGAAACCGGAGCUAAUACCGGAUAAUAUUUUGAACCGCAUGGUUCAAAAGUGAAAGACGGUCUUGCUGUCACUUAUAGAUGGAUCCGCGCUGCAUUAGCUAGUUGGUAAGGUAACGGCUUACCAAGGCAACGAUGCAUAGCCGACCUGAGAGGGUGAUCGGCCACACUGGAACUGAGACACGGUCCAGACUCCUACGGGAGGCAGCAGUAGGGAAUCUUCCGCAAUGGGCGAAAGCCUGACGGAGCAACGCCGCGUGAGUGAUGAAGGUCUUCGGAUCGUAAAACUCUGUUAUUAGGGAAGAACAUAUGUGCAAGUAACUGUGCACAUCUUGACGGUACCUAAUCAGAAAGCCACGGCUAACUACGUG
rnacentral:rRNA from 1 species